rnacentral:rRNA from 1 species
AGAGUUUGAUCCUUGGCUCAGAGCGAACGCUGGCGGCAUGCUUAACACAUGCAAGUCGCACGGGCAGGUUUCGGCUUGUCAGUGGCGGACGGGUGAGUAACGCGUAGGUAUCUAUCCAUGGGUGGGGGAUAACGCUGGGAAACUGGUGCUAAUACCGCAUGACACCUGAGGGUCAAAGGCGCAAGUCGCCUGUGGAGGAGCCUGCGUCCGAUUAGCUAGUUGGUGGGGUAACUGCCUACCAAGGCGAUGAUCGGUAGCUGGUCUGAGAGGAUGAUCAGCCACAUUGGGACUGAGACACGGCCCAAACUCCUACGGGAGGCAGCAGUGGGGAAUAUUGGACAAUGGGCGCAAGCCUGAUCCAGCAAUGCCGCGUGGAUGAAGAAGGUUUUCGGAUUGUAAAGUCCUUUCGGCGGGGACGAUGAUGACGGUACCCGCAGAAGAAGCCCCGGCUAACUUCGUGCCAGCAGCCGCGGUAAUACGAAGGGGGCUAGCGUUGCUCGGAAUGACUGGGCGUAAAGGGCGCGUAGGCGGUUUGGUUAGUUAGGCGUGAAAUUCCCUGGGCUUAACCUGGGGGCUGCGUUUAAUACAGCCAGACUAGAGUGUGAAAGAGGGUCGUGGAAUUCCCAGUGUAGAGGUGAAAUUCGUAGAUAUUGGGAAGAACACCGGUGGCGAAGGCGGCGACCUGGUCAUUACUGACGCUGAGGCGCGAAAGCGUGGGGA